rnacentral:lncRNA from 1 species
GGGAGACGCGUGCGUCACCAGUCCCGUUUCCACUCAGCUGCAGCCUGGUUCACGUCAGCCCUCAGUGGCUCCUGCCCUUUGCUGAGUCAUUCGAGCAGUUGCCUUUUCUACUGGGACCCUGACGCUGAGUCACUCCUGCCCAUCUUCUCCACUCUUCCAAGCCCCAGCACUAGAGGUUGUUAGUGAAUGGAAUUGUGUAGCAGAUGGAGCCACUGGUGUGUGUGGCCCUCAGAAGCUCAGGCCCCUUGGGAAUCUGACUCGCUCUACCAGACCCCAAAGAGCCAGAGGAAGGGUGUUUCUGAGCCCCGCUCUUCCUUGACAACCUUUUGCCUGAAGAUAAAGAGGGUUUUAGGCCCCCACCCCAGAUGGUCCCAACCUCGAGACACAAAGCCAGAACCGCAGCAACCCUCUUAUCAUGGAGCUUUGGUGCUGUCUCCUGAAGCAGGAGUCAAGAUGAGGGAGGCUAGAACAUUUAAGUCUGAUUCUACAAAAUAGAAUGUGACUGCUGCUUUAACAUUCUGCCUCCCCAAGUGCCAUGAGGGUUGAGACUGGCUUCAUUGAUCUCUGAAUUCAC